rnacentral:rRNA from 1 species
AUGGAGAGUUUGAUCCUGGCUCAGGACCAACGCUGGCGGCGUGCCUAAUGCAUGCAAGUCGCACGGACCCUUCGGGGUCAGUGGCAAACGGGUGCGGAACACGUGGGUGACCUGCCGUCCACUGGGGGAUACCCACUCGAAAGGGUGGCUAAGACCGCAUACGCUCCGGCUGGUGACGCCCAGCGGGAGGAAAGCUCCGGCGGUGGACGAGGGGCCCGCGGCCGAUUAGCUGGUUGGUAGGGUAACGGCCUACCAAGGCGACGAUCGGUAGCCGGUCUGAGAGGACGGCCGGCCACACGGGGACUGAGAGACGGCCCCGACUCCUACGGGAGGCAGCAGCAAGGAAUCUUGGGCAAUGGGCGCAAGCCUGACCCAGCGACGCCGCGUGGGGGAUGACGGCCUUCGGGUUGUAAACCCCUUUUGGCGGGGACGAAACUGACGGUACCCGCCGAAGAAGCCCCGGCUAACUACGUGCCAGCAGCCGCGGUAAGACGUAGGGGGCAAGCGUUGUCCGGAAUUACUGGGCGUAAAGCGCCCGUAGGCGGCCCGUCGUGCUGGGCGUGAAAUCCCCGAGCUUACCUCGGGGGGGUCGUCCAGGACCGGCGGGCUCGGGUCGAGCAGAGGCGCGUGGAAUUCCCGGUGGAGCGGUGAAAUGCGUAGAGAUCGGGAGGAACACCAGUGGCGAAGGCGACGCGCUGGGCUUGGACCGACGCUGAGGGGCGAAAGCGUGGGGAGCGAACCGGAUUAGAUACCCGGGUAGUCCACGCCCUAAACGAUGGGUACUCGGCGUGGGGGGUAUCGACCCCCUCCGUGCCUCAGCUAACGCGUGAAGUACCCCGCCUGGGGAGUACGGCCGCAAGGUUGAAACUCAAAGGAAUUGACGGGGGCCCGCACAAGCAGCGGAGCGUGUGGUUUAAUUCGAUGCAACGCGCAGAACCUUACCAGGGCUGGACCUGCCGCUGACAGCCGGGGAAACCCGGUGGCCGCAAGGUGUGCGGCACAGGUGCUGCAUGGCUGUCGUCAGCUCGUGCCGUGAGGUGUCGGGUUAAGUCCCGCAACGAGCGCAACCCCUGCGCCUAGUUGAGUGUCUAGGCGGACUGCCCCCGCAAGGGGGAGGAAGGCGGGGAUGACGUCAAGUCCGCAUGGCCCUGAUGCCCUGGGCGACACACACGCUACAAUGGGCGCGACAGAGGGCUGCGAAGCCGCAAGGUGGAGCCAAUCCCACAAAGGCGCCCUCAGUGGGGAUUGCAGGCUGCAACCCGCCUGCAUGAACGCGGAGUUGCUAGUAACCGCCGGUCAGCACUACGGCGGUGAAUACGUUCUCGGGCCUUGUACACACCGCCCGUCACGUCACGAAAGCCGGCAACACCUGAAGUCGCUGGGCUAACCCCAGUCGGGGAGGCAGGCGCCGAGGGUGGGGCUGGUGAUUGGGACGAAGUCGUAACAAGGUAGCCGUAGCGGAAGCUGCGGCUGGAUCACCUCCUUU